rnacentral:lncRNA from 1 species
UGAUUGUUCUGAUUAUUAUUCUGAUUGCUCCAAUUGAAAUUUUGGUUGUUGUUCCCUCAGUUACAAUUUCCUUGUUGUUGUUGAUUGCCCCAAAUGCCUUGGGGUCUCCAUUUUUCUUGGUUGGAAGAAUUGCCUCUUUGGCUUUGAUAGUUGUUCACAUAUUUCACCUCUUCAUUCUGCCCAUCAUAACCAUCAUCUGGGAAUACACCACAAUCAUUGUCAAAUUGCUCCGAACUCCCUCGGUUCUGUUGAUCUCUUUGUCUUCUUUUGUUCAUUAGUAUGUUGACAUCCUCCAUGACAUUCACUUGGCGAGGAUUUUGAACUGGUUGCAACUGUGCUUUGCUAGUUCGUUCUUGUUGUCAGCUCAGCUAUGGCCUACUCAUGGUCAUGUAGCUCUUUAUGCAAAUGAGUGACCGCGGG